CUAAAUGGUCAUGCAGUUGCGUGAUGAUAUAGCAAAGCUAUAGAUCACGAGGAAAGUCCGGACUCUAUAGAGGUAUGGUGCCGGCUAAUCUCCGGCAGAGUAUUAUUACUUUAGGGAAAGUACCACAGAAAAUAUACCGCCGCAAUAUUUCGGUAAGGGUGAAAAGGUACGGUAAGAGCGUACCGGUAAGUUGGUAACAAAUUACGCAUGGUAAACCCCACCAAGAGCAAGAUCAAAUAGGCAUUACAGAACUUGUGUUUCCAAGUUCCCGGGUUAUCUCUAACCGGCUUGUAAUGUGGGUAGAUCGCUUGAGGUAAACGGUAACGUUUAUCCUAGAUAAAUAACUGCAAUGAAUUUCUAUUCAUACAGAAUCCGGCUUAUAGACCUUAAAAAU
rnacentral:RNase_P_RNA from 16 species